rnacentral:rRNA from 1 species
AUUGAACGCUGGCGGCAGGCCUAACACAUGCAAGUCGAAUGGUAACAGGAAACAGCUUGCUGUUUCGCUGACGAGCGGCGGACGGGUGAGUAAUGUCUGGGAAACUGCCUGAUGGAGGGGGAUAACUACUGGAAACGGUAGCUAAUACCGCAUAACGUCGCAAGACCAAAGAGGGGGACCUUCGGGCCUCUUGCCAUCAGAUGUGCCCAGAUGGGAUUAGCUAGUAGGUGGGGUAACGGCUCACCUAGGCGACGAUCCCUAGCUGGUCUGAGAGGAUGACCAGCCACACUGGAACGGAGACACGGUCCAGACUCCUACGGGAGGCAGCAGUGGGGAAUAUUGCACAAUGGGCGCAAGCCUGAUGCAGCCAUGCCGCGUGUAUGAAGAAGGCCUUCGGGUUGUAAAGUACUUUCAGCGGGGAGGAAGGGAGUAAAGUUAAUACCUUUGCUCAUUGACGUUACCCGCAGAAGAAGCACCGGCUAACUCCGUG